GUGCACCAGGCGAGAAACCUCCGCAAUGCUCGAAAGAGUGACGGGGGGAUUCCAAGUGCCUACGCUUAGCGUAGGCUGUUCAGAUGCCUAAAAAGCAUCUGGAGUAAGGGCUGGGUAAGACGGGUGCCAUCUGCAGUGGUAAUGAAAAACUUGCUACUGCAAGGCAUAAGCCGCCGCGGUAAUACCCGCAGCCCGAGUGGUAGUCGCUUUUAUUGGGCCUAAAGCGUCCGUAGCCGGUCUGGUAAAUGCCUGGGUAAAUCGUGGGGCCUAACCUCACGAACUCCGGGUAGACUGCCAGACUUGGGACCGGUUGAGGGAGAGGGUACUCCAGGGGUAGGGGUGAAAUCCUGUAAUCCUUGGAGGACCACCGGUGGCGAAAGCGCUCUCCUAGGUCGGGUCCGACGGUGAGGGACGAAAGCCAGGGGAGCAAACCGGAUUAGAUA
rnacentral:rRNA from 1 species